rnacentral:hammerhead_ribozyme from 1 species
AUCUAUCUGACGAGUCCCAAAUAGGACGAAAUGCACAUCAAGCUGGAU